rnacentral:rRNA from 1 species
GACGAACGCUGGCGGCGUGCCUAAUACAUGCAAGUAGGACGCAGUUGCGAACGGGUGAGUAACGCGUAGGUAACUACCUAUUAGAGGGGGAUAACUAUUGGAAACGAUAGCUAAUACCGCCUACUAGUAGAUGGACCUGCGUUGUAUUAGCUAGUAGGUAGGGUAAUGGCCUACCUAGGCAACGAUACAUAGCCGAGCUGGGAAGGUGAUCGGACAAAAUGGGACUGAGCAACGGCCCAGAAUCCUACGGGAGGGAGCAGUAGGGAAUCUUCGGAAAUGGGGGGAACCCCGACCGAGCACCGCCGGGGGAGUGAAGAAGGUUUUCGGAUCGGAAAGGUCUGUUGUUAAGGAAGCGGUACUUAACCAGAAAGGGCCGGCUAACUACGUGCCAGCCGCCGCGGUAAUAC